rnacentral:rRNA from 1 species
CGGCGGACGGGUGAGUAACGCGUGGGUAACCUGCCUCAUACAGGGGGAUAACAGUUAGAAAUGACUGCUAAUACCGCAUAAGACCACGGUACCGCAUGGUACAGUGGUAAAAACUCCGGUGGUAUGAGAUGGACCCGCGUCUGAUUAGGUAGUUGGUGGGGUAACGGCCUACCAAGCCGACGAUCAGUAGCCGACCUGAGAGGGUGAUCGGCCACAUUGGGACUGAGACACGGCCCAG